GUCUGUGGUGGCCACUGCCCCCUUCUAGACCUUUUUCUGGACCAACUAGGGAACUCUCUCUGGCUCAUUUCUUUAUUCCUGCAGACAGGUGACAGAUCACCAACUGGGCCAGCCCUCUGUGAAGAGCUCUCGAGCCCAGCCAGAUGAUUCUCUCAGCCAGGUUCUGAGGGUUCUAGCUAUGGGAUGGUGAACAGAUGGAGUUGGCCUCGGGCCUUGGUCACACUGAAACAAGAAGUGGCUCAGCUCCUAACAGCCCCAGAAGGACCUGGAGGCAGUCUCACAAGAUGACACCUUGAGGAUGACAGAUACUCAGCUUUUGACACGUUUAGGUUGGUAUGGCAAUGAGGCGAUCCAGGAAAGGGGUUGGAACCUGCUGUAGGGGCUGGGCUGACUUCCAUC